CCUACGGGCGGCAGCAGUGAGGAAUAUUGGUCAAUGGGCGCGAGCCUGAACCAGCCAAGUCGCGUGAAGGAUGACUGCCCUACGGGUUGUAAACUUCUUUUGUAAAGGAAUAAAGUGAGGCACGUGUGCCUUUUUGUAUGUACUUUAUGAAUAAGGAUCGGCUAACUCCGUGCCAGCAGCCGCGGUAAUACGGAGGAUCCGAGCGUUAUCCGGAUUUAUUGGGUUUAAAGGGAGCGUAGAUGGGUUGUUAAGUCAGUUGUGAAAGUUUGCGGCUCAACCGUGAAACUGCAAUUGAUACUGGCAGGCUUGAGUACAGGUGAGGUAGGCGGAAUUCGUGGUGUAGCGGUGAAAUGCGUAGAUAUCACGAAGAACUCCGAUUGCGAAGGCAGCUUACUAAACUGCCACUGACAUUGAUGCUCGAAAGUGUGGGUAUCAAACAGGAUUAGAUACCCGAGUAGUC
rnacentral:rRNA from 1 species